GUUGCAUUUCUAAGUCGAUCCCCUCUCUGCUUUUUUUUCCAAGUCUUUUUGCUCCGGCAUUCCUUUGAUGGUUAGAUUUUUGCCUCCAUAGAGAGGCACAGGCUGAGGGAAGAGAGAGCCAUGGGAGGACCAGGAGGAAAGACUUAAUUAUUAACUUCAACAUAUUUGAAGAGUUUUUAGGCACAAAGGAAACUUACAGAGAGGGUGCCUCUCUUGUUUGAAUGAAAGACUUGGAAGUUUCACAAUCAUUAUGACUAUAAACAGACUGGGCAAAUAAAAUGCAGUGAUGAGAGAAAGCAAGGCCCACAGAAAGGCAGGUCACCCAGCCAGCAAUGGCAAGGCAAGCUGGCUGAGAAUGCGGUACCUACGAUCAGAUGGGUCCAGUUCGAAUCCCAACUUUGCCACGUACUGGUUAAGUGCGCAAGACAAGUAACAUCAUCUCAUAAGCCCAGUUCUCCUCUGUGAAGGGGUAACAAGAGUUCUACUCUGCGUGGAUGCAGAUGUAAUGAGAUCACGUACUAAGGACCCUGAAGACUCAAAGC
rnacentral:lncRNA from 1 species